CUCCCAUCUCCGUGAUGCCCAUGAGAUGUCACAAAGGGUUGGUGCAGAAGGCAGAGCACUGUGCUCCUGCCUGGAUCCAUCCUGUGCAUCAGCCCAUCUUCAGGCAGAUGCAGUGGAUCUAUUCACAGGUCCUGCCUGUGAAUAGAUCUGGGUCCCUACUGCUGGCCAGGCUCAUGGGAGGCAUGACAAAUAAAAAGAGAACAGAUAUAUUUAUUCACCUCCAUUACUUCCCAGACACUCCAAGCAAAGCUGUCAGCAAAUGCCAAUCAACUGCUAAAUGGAAAUAGUGCACACUAUGAAAAAACCUACAGUAAAGUAGGAUGUAGAAGCCUGGGCACUGCAAUGUCUAAAAAACUGAUGACUCUUGUGCAAGUGGGCAAGUUAGAACAGUAUCUGGCUGGAGAAGGAGGCUGUGCAGAAGCUGAAUCCUUUGAUCCGACAUCUCCUUCGAAUCUGCUCCAAUGCCUGCUGUAAUAUGAAAGUUGAGAAUACUAUUUUUCUAGAAGUGACGUGGUUUCUGUUCCCUUUGAAGCUGUCCGUCGAAAUUCUGAUGUCAACACGGAACUGCAGAGAGGAGAAUCAUAUUAGACUUUUCUUGGGGCACAGAGUGAAUUGACAUAAAUAUGAGUUAUCUGUUAAUAUUGUUGUUAUCGCUGCCGGGUCUGAUGACUGUGACUCCUAUCUCCAAUGCUGGACAUUAUAUUCCAUCAACAGAGUUAUGUUUUACCCCUUUGGACAAUAGAAGUUGUUGCUAAUAA